GGCCCCCAUGGAGUAUAUGAUUGAGGCAUGCACAUGGAAUGGAAUCAUCAGCCACAAAUGUAAAUGCUGAUCUCUGAGUAGUACAUUUGCCUUUGCAGCCUUCGCAGCAACCUUGUUCCAUUUUAAUGUUCAUGCCAUGCUGAUGUAGUACAAGUCGGUGUACGAUCGCCAUGUCGCGUCUCUCUCUAUGAUCUGGAGCGGUGGAUCUGCCUAGCGCCUGCAUCAUUACAGGUGUGCUUUGGACGCUAACAGAUGGCCAUUUUAUGGGGUCGGCGUGGUCUCUUCUCUCAUCUGUUUUUUUUCUUCUUUCUUUUUAGCUCGGUUGUGUUUGCAGGCUUUGUUAAAUUACAGCUUCAGACCUUCGUGCGCGCAUGUGUGAGUUUGAGUAAUGAGUAUGCGCUGUUGACUGACAAAGAGAAGAGGAUGAAAGGGAGGUUAGGAUUUUCACUUGGCAGAUCAAUCUUGGCAGGAUGGUGGAUGUUUGUUACGCUAAGAUAAAUAUUCUCUGGGUGUGGGCAGACUGCCCCUGUACUGUACUUAACCCAUUUUGUAUUUUGAUUUGCUGAUCGGUUCAGUUUUUUUUUAAAGUAAAGUUGCAGUGAAUUCUGAACUGCACUUCCAACCUCCGAAGACAGAUUGGGGGCAUAUACUUGCAUGUUCAAAUAAAAAGGUGCUAUAGUUGUACUAGAUCAGUAGAGCUCCAAUCAAGAAGCUAGCUAGCUCUCAUGGCAAGUAUGUGUAAUCGGUGAGCAUUACGUUUGCCUUGAAAGAAAGGCUAUCGAAAUGCCAAACAUAGCCGUGGACCACGCAAGCAAUGACAAACAGAUCGGUUCAGGCAGCUGAAAUCAGUGCGGUUUACAGGGCA
rnacentral:lncRNA from 1 species